UACGAAGGGUGCAAGCGUUAAUCGGAAUUACUGGGCGUAAAGCGUGCGCAGGCGGUUCGUUAUGUCUGUUGUGAAAGCCCCGGGCUCAACCUGGGAAUGGCAAUGGAAACUGGCGAGCUAGAGUGUGGCAGAGGGGGGUGGAAUUCCGCGUGUAGCAGUGAAAUGCGUAGAGAUGCGGAGGAACACCGAUGGCGAAGGCAGCCCCCUGGGCUAACACUGACGCUCAGGCACGAAAGCGUGGGGAGCAAACAGG
rnacentral:rRNA from 1 species